ACGUAUGGGGCAAGCGUUGUUCGGAAUUAUUGGGCGUAAAGGGCGUCUAGGCGGGGGAUUAAGUUAGAUGUGAAAGCUAUGGGCUCAACCCAUAAACUGCAUCUAAGACUGGUUCUCUUGAGUCCGGGUGAGGAAAGCGGAAUUCCAGGUGUAGCGGUGAAAUGCGUAGAGAUCAGGCAGAACACCAAUGGCGAAGGCAGGUUUCUAACCUAUUACUGACGCUGAGGCGCGAAAGCGUGGGGAGCGAACAG
rnacentral:rRNA from 1 species